CUCAAGAAAGGAGGUUCCCAGAAAACAGUAACAAAUUUUUCAUCAGAUAUAAAAACCGAUGGGCCAGAAUCAAAGCUAGGUUGCAUCAGCCGGCGGCCCAGAAUAGCAGCAACGGCCUGAAAUGCCACCUAAGGCUUGGUGGUUCUACUUACUCAGAAAUAGGCAUGUCUCAUUUUCAGGUAAGUUGGGGACCUCUCACUUUGCUCACACUUUUGGCACUUGCUGUUUAGGCAUGCAAGCCGAGCCAUACAUGAUAUCCAUGUAGAAGGAGAAAUGGGAGGAGGACAUGCAAAAGUUGUUCUUGGAAGCCCCCUGCACAGCAUAGCUAUGCAUGGCGCCGUAUACAGGGUGAGUAACUUUACAUUUAACACUAUCUGUAUGGUCAACCUCAAGGUAUGAGACUACUAUCUCUUUGGUUUUGCACUUUUUUGGGUGCAUGCAUAUAACAUCAAGGUGAAGGAAAUGCUGAUAAAAUGACACUAUUUACGCUGAAGAGGAAAUGUUCUUAUUCUUUAGCCCUACUGUAUUUUACACAUUGAUUUUUCAGCGUUGUAGCCUGUAAGGAAUUUUCUCAUGGGCGCUAUAGAUAUACAUAUAUACUUUAACUCGAACCAGUUAAGAUAGCUGUGCAAAAGAAGUAUGCUAGCUGCUCCACAUUGUUUCAAAAAACUGAUUGGCAUCACGAUCUUUGUAGAUUCAGUAUCAUGUCUUUUAAAAGAACUGGUUGAUACUCCAUCUCCAGCAUCGCUUUCCACUCUCUCUAUGUCUCUCUCAUUUUUUUAGGGUUGAAUUAAGAGUAUAGGGUUUCAAAGUUGUAAGCAGUGGGGUUCAGAGUUCUAAACAAUAUGCAAGUUCAAGCUUAAAAAGUGUAGGUAAAAUGCACUGAUUCAGAUAUGUGAGGAAGAAAAUAUAGUGAACCAUGUUCAGGUCAGUCAAUUGGCUUAUGGUUUGAACAAUGUUCAAGUCAGUCAAUGAGCUUAAAAAGUUUAGGUAAAAUGCACUGACUCAGUGUCUCCUGGUCAUCUUGUAUUCUAAAUUUUCCAUAUUCAGGUCAGUCAAUGAGCGUAUGGUUUGAUUUGUACUUGCAUUGUCGAGUUCAUGAUCUUGAUAUAUAAAAAAGUGUAAGCAACAAAUUAACUCUAUGUCUAAUGAUCCAUAGUUUAUAUUAGCCUGAAUUUAAAAUGUACCACAUAGAAGACCAACACGCCAACACAUAUGUAGCAUCAGUUAGCCAAGUGCAUACCUCUUUCGUUUUUUGACAAGGGCAUACCUCUUGGGUCCCCGACAACACUCUGAUGAAGCGACCAACGAAGAUCUGUGUGCAGCGGUGGCAAGGAGACCUCAGCAUCUAUCGUGAUGGAGGUGGAGGUGGUCCAGCCAAGCCUACAUGUGGUGUCGUGGCAUCCAGCGUCGUCGACGAGCGCGUGUCGAACAACGGUUGCUGCGGUGGAGAAGGAGACUUCGGCCGAUGUGACGGAACAGGACGGCCUGGCAAGUUGACGUCCGCCUUUGUGCAGAUGAAGCCCCGUGCCAAGUUGAGGCGACGUCGAAGGGAGGGCCACCGAGCUCUCCGCGCCGAAUUGGAGGAUAACCGCGUGCUGGGUCACAGAGGCGUCGAGGCGGCAGCCAGGUGCGCCGUCUCGGGCAAUUGUAAGUCGGAGGGAGCUAGAGGUUCGAUAUGGAAACUACCGAUUGAAGCCUGGCAGUGUUGACGGCAGUCAUGCUUUCGUGAGUUUCGGGUGGUAGAGACCGUGGCUGACUCGCUAGUUAUGUUGUGGCAUGACCAGGUCAUGCAUGUUUUUUUUUUGUGAAUUAUGUUAUCUUCUUAAUUUAUAGAAACAUCAAUUGUGUCUCUGAAAAUAUUGGGCAAUAAUCAUUUACGAUUAAACUAUUGUUAUCAAAUUUUGCUCUUUCUUC